rnacentral:rRNA from 1 species
AUGAACGCUGGCGGCGUGCCUAAUCCAUGCAAGUCGAGCGAACAGACGAGGAGCUUGCUCCUCUGACGUUAGCGGCGGACGGGUGAGUAACACGUGGAUAACCUACCUAUAAGACUGGGAUAACUUCGGGAAACCGGAGCUAAUACCGGAUAAUAUAUUGAACCGCAUGGUUCAAUAGUGAAAGACGGUUUUGCUGUCACUUAUAGAUGGAUCCGCGCCGCAUUAGCUAGUUGGUAAGGUAGCGGCUUACCAAGGCAACGAUGCGUAGCCGACCUGAGAGGGUGAUCGGCCACACUGGAACUGAGACACGGUCCAGACUCCUACGGGAGGCAGCAGUAGGGAAUCUUCCGCAAUGGGCGAAAGCCUGACGGAGCAACGCCGCGUGAGUGAUGAAGGUCUUCGGAUCGUAAAACUCUGUUAUUAGGGAAGAACAAAUGUGUAAGUAACUAUGCACGUCUUGACGGUACCUAAUCAGAAAGCCACGGCUAACUACGUG